rnacentral:lncRNA from 1 species
GCAACCAAAUCAGGACAGACCCGACCUCUCCCUCCUCCUUUCUUCUCCUUUCGCCAUUUCUGGUUUUCCAGCUAUUUCGUCGCCGUCCGGCCACCCCAGGACGAACCUUUUGGCAUGGCGUGAUCCUCUCCUCCUUCUCUACCUAGUCAUCUUGUUUUGAUCGAUGGAGGAAGAUUUGAAGGUGUUUGAGGGUGUGAACAGUAACGUGAACAGUACUGUUGAGUUCUUGGUUUUUGUUUGAUCUAUCCGGCCAUUUCUGCUUGAAUUUGGUUGUUGUUGCAGGUAUGGACGUACUGAGCCCUCAAGCGUGGAGGACACGGGCAGGCAGCAGGAUUAGCUGCGAGAUUCACCUAUUUUAGAUUUGUCGAGAUCGCGUCCAGGAACUUGAGGCAUAGGAAUCAGCGCUUCCGUUUU